GGAGCGGUCGUGGCUGAAUGGUUACGAUGUUCGCUUUAUAAGCGAAUGAUCCUGGGUUCGACGAUACCCAUCUGCUCCC
rnacentral:tRNA from 1 species